CUUUUUUUUUUUUUUUCCUUUUCCACUUCUAGAAUUGCUUUAAAUGGUUAUUAGCUUGAGCAAAGCAUCUUUUGGGGCCAUGACAAUGCAUUAUCUCCCUAUUGAACUUAUUUUGCCACUUCUGCUUACACUUUGCAAUGCAGUGUAUGGUAAACAUGAACAAUGUGUUUCCUUUUGCCAAUGUUCUAUCUUAUUGGUUUGUUUUUUUGAUUGAUGAGUGAUCUAACAAAAAAUUAUAAGCUAGUAGGCGGAGAUGUGCAUACUAGCGUGUAAGGAAGUAAUGAGCUUUAUUUUUGAACAAUAUGGUAUUACUCAAUGCCACUCCUGCUUAUAUGCUUAAUAGAACCACACUUUACACAGUAUACACUUGCAACCAUAUAAUAGCAACAAGUGGCCGUGGCCACUACAAAUUGGCAAACAGAAAUGGCGAAUAAAAAAAAUAAAGUUCACAACCAGGUCUGAUACAAUGUUAUCAAUUCUAAAAUUUUAAUUAGUUGAUGGAGAUGUCUAUGCUAUAUAAGGCCACAUCAAAACCGAUAUGGGAUUACACUUUGAUUAUUUGUCCAACCUUUUACUUAUGGUUACUUGGCUUGGUCAUUCCUAGUUUAAAUACCGUACAGACAAGAUUUCUUUGACAUUGAUCCUCACUUUUCAACUUACCUCUAUCAUUCUGUUAUUUCAUAUUUGCUCUAGACAAAGAUUGAAUGGGCAUUUAGGAGUUAAUCAAAACUUUUAUGUUUAUGCCUUUUGUUUUCCUCUCUAUUUUGCAGGGCCAAGAUAUCUAUAGUAUUUCAAUGUUGUCUGAGGAAGACAAAACCAAUCCAAAAUAUGCUUAUUCGCCAUGCAUUGUGGAUAUAGAUAUUGAGAUGAAAAAUUUUGAAAAAAAAAAAUCCAAUAAUGAAGCUGUUGGAAGUAUAAAAAGCGAAGGUUUGCUAACUGGGGUACUGCAGAGACAAGCAAGCUUAAAAACAUGUGGAAGACUCAUGCAACUAUUUACAAAUCAUGGCUCAACUUUACUGAAGUUGAUUUCUAAAGAUAAGUCAUUCAAUGAGAGAGUUUAUGAUACACCAAAUAACAGAUGGAGAAAGUAUAAGCGUGCGGCAUCAUUUGAUUCAAGAAAAGUUGUUCUUCUCUUCUCAAUCUUGUAAGUUCUUACUUCACAAGCAUAUUAGAGAGCUAAAUGCCUUAAUUUUUUAUUCUGCCUAUUUUGGCUCCAGUUCAAUAAAUCAUUAAUUUGACUUGGCUUUUCUAUGCCUACUAUCUUAAGAUGCAACCGUGCAUUAAUAGUGAUAAUGCUGUAGGGUUAGCAAUGAUAACGUUUUUGUUUUGAUAAUUGGCUGAAUGUGCAUGUUCUGCAAUUUGGUAUCGUGUUGUCUCUAUUGAUUAAGAUGGAUUUUGGUGGAAGAUAUGUUUAUGAAAGUCAAACAUAUGGUUGAAAUUUUUAAUGAGCCAUUCAGAGAGAUAUUUGUAUGAGUAGGACUACAUCACUUUUCGAAUGUUCUGUAUACGUAUCAUUUUUUCCUAUAAAAUACCAGAGGAAAAUGAUCGAUAUUGUUAGGAAUCACUAAGAAAAGAAAAGAAUGUGAAGAUUAAUUGCAGUGUUAAUUGCCUGCUAAUGAAGUUCAGAUGAGGCUUGUUUGCAUUAGUUCAUUUUCGUUCUGUCUAGUCCAUUUUCGUUCUGUCUAGUCCAUUUUAUGCUUCACAUGUGAUUAAAGCACCUUGGUUCAUUUUCAUUCUAUAAUGACUAUAAUGACAGAUAUGAAUUCUUCAGUCUGCCUGAGCCUGAGUUUAUACAUUAUGUAUAUCAUACUCUGGCAUCACCAGCACUUCUAUAACUUGAAUGGGCUAUGUCCCAAACCAAGUCCGUAGGCUAUUGCACAUUCUAUGACUGAAGCAAGUUUUGCUAUUUUUAAGCAAAGGCGUGCUUCAUCUGAGCCGGCUCGCAGGCUCAUGUGACUGAAUCUUAGUAUAUUCUCUCUCUCUCUCUCUCU
rnacentral:misc_RNA from 1 species